rnacentral:rRNA from 1 species
UGGGGAAUUUUGGACAAUGGGCGCAAGCCUGAUCCAGCCAUGCCGCGUGCGGGAAGAAGGCCUUCGGGUUGUAAACCGCUUUUGUCAGGGAAGAAAUCUUCUGAGUUAAUACCUCGGGAGGAUGACGGUACCUGAAGAAUAAGCACCGGCUAACUACGUGCCAGNCAGCCGCGGUAAUACGUAGGGUGCAAGCGUUAAUCGGAAUUACUGGGCGUAAAGCGUGCGCAGGCGGUUUUGUAAGACAGAGGUGAAAUCCCCGGGCUCAACCUGGGAACUGCCUUUGUGACUGCAAGGCUUGAGUGCGGCAGAGGGGGAUGGAAUUCCGCGUGUAGCAGUGAAAUGCGUAGAUAUGCGGAGGAACACCGAUGGCGAAGGCAAUCCCCUGGGCCUGCACUGANCCGCUCCAUGCACGAAAAGCGUGGGGAGCAAAACAGGAUUAGAUCCCUGGUAGUCCACGCCCUAAAACGAUGUCAACU